rnacentral:rRNA from 1 species
GCCACGUAUCUCAUUGCACGCACAUCCCUAGCCCGACCUCGACGUACCCGUCCCAUCCGAUCCCUGCUCCCUCUCUCGCUCUCGCCGCGCAGUACCAGCAGCUGCCAUGGAUCUACUACCGCCGGCGUCAGAGGCGCCGGCCGGUGGCGGCGCAGUUGGGGGCCGAGGGCUGCGACGCGGGGUCGGGUUCCCGUCGCUCAAGCUGGUGAACGUGUCCAUGGAAGAGGCCCUCCCAGCCGAGCCCGUCGGCGUCGCCUACGGCCGCCUCACCAACGGACUCACCUACUACGUCCGCUCCAACCCCAAGCCCCGCAUGCGCGCAGCCCUCUCCCUCGCCGUCAAGGUCGGGUCGGUGGUGGAGGAGGAGGACGAGCGCGGGGUGGCGCAUAUCGUCGAGCACCUCGCCUUCAGCGCAACGUCACGCUACACCAAUCACGACAUCGUUAGGUUCCUCGAGAGCAUUGGCGCAGAGUUUGGCGCCUGCCAGAACGCUCUCACUUCCUCUGACGAAACCAUCUAUGAGCUGCUCGUGCCUGUGGACAAGCCCGGACUGCUCUCCCAGGCAAUCUCCGUCCUCGCAGAGUUCAGCUCCGAGGUUCGGGUUUCAGCGGAGGAUCUGGAGAAAGAAAGGGGUGCUGUGCUGGAGGAAUACAGGGGCGGGCGCAACGCCACUGGGCGGAUGCAGGACUCCCACUGGACAUUGUUGUUUGAGGGUUCUAAGUAUGCAGAAUGUUUGCCGAUAGGUACAGAGAAGGUGAUACGGACUGUUACACAUGAGGCAGUUAGAAAUUUUUAUCAUAAGUGGUACAAUCUAAGCAAUAUGGCUGUCUUUGCAGUGGGAGACUUCCCAGAUACACAGGCUGUUGUUGAGUUAAUAAAGGAGCAUUUUGGUCAGAAAGCCUCAAUUUCCUGCCCUCCACUGGUUAUACCGGAGUUUCCAGUUCCAUCGCAUAUUGAACCUCGAUUUUCAUGCUUUGUGGAAUCCGAAGCUGCAGGGUCAGCUGUUGUUAUUAGCUGCAAGAUGCCUGCCGGUGAAAUUAAAACAGUCAAGGAUUAUAGGGACUCAUUGGCAGAAUCAAUUUUCCAUUGUGCUCUGAACCAGAGGCUCUUCAAACUAUCUCGUAGGAGGGAUCCUCCAUACUUCUCUUGCUCUUCAGCUGCAGAUGCUCUUGUCCGUCCGGUGAAGGCAUAUAUUAUGACAUCCAGUUGUCGCGAAAAAGGCACGGUUGAGGCUCUUGAGUCUAUGCUAGUGGAGGUUGCUAGGGCACGGCUCUAUGGAUUUUCUGAACGUGAGAUAUCCAUUGUGCGUGCUUUAAUGAUGUCAGAGAUCGAGUCUGCAUAUCUGGAGCGUGAUCAAAUGCAAUCAACCAGCUUACGUGAUGAGUAUCUGCAGCAUUUUCUUCGCGAGGAGCCUGUUGUCGGGAUUGAAUAUGAAGCACGGUUGCAGAAGACUCUUCUUCCAUACAUUUCUUCUGCUGAAGUGGUGAAGUUUGCGGAAAAUUUUUCAACAACCAGUAGCUGUGUUAUCAAGAUAGUUGAGCCCCGGGCCCAUGCUUCUCUGGAGGAUCUGAAAGCUGUUGUAUUGAAAGUUAACACUCUAGAAGAAAAGAGGAGUAUUCCUCCCUGGGAGGAAGAGCAAAUCCCUGAAGAAAUUGUUAGCCAAAGUCCAGUGCCAGGAAUUAUUGUUGAUAAAGUGGAGCACCCAGGCAUAGGUGCCACUGAGAUGAUACUAUCUAAUGGGAUGCGAGUUUGCUACAAGUGUACUGACUUUCUUGAUGAUCAGGUUGUUUUUACUGGGUUUGCCUAUGGUGGCCUGUCCGAAUUAUCUGAAGAUGAAUAUACUUCAUGCACAAUGGGCUCGACAAUAGCAGGAGAAAUUGGUAUUUUUGGCUACAGACCUUCUGUCUUGAUGGACAUGCUUGCUGGCAAGAGAGCUGAAGUUGGUACAAAAGUUGGGGCGUACAUGAGAUCAUUUUCUGGCGAUUGUUCACCUUCAGAUCUUGAGAUUGGUUUACAGCUUGUCUACCAACUAUUUACAACAAAGGUGGAGCCAAGGGAGGAAGAAGUAAAAAUAGUCAUGCAAAUGGCGGAGGAAGCUAUCUAUGCUCAGGAAAGAGAUCCUUACACUGCAUUUGCAAAUCGUUCACGGGAAAUAAAUUAUGGGAACUCCUACUUCUUUAAGCCAAUUAGAAUAAGUGAUUUGAAGAAAGUGAAUCCAAUCAGAGCAUGUGAAUAUUUCAACAUGUGCUUCAAGGAUCCAUCAGCUUUUACCGUUGUAGUAGUUGGAAACAUAGACCCAGCCAUCUCAAUCCCACUGAUUUUGGAGUACCUGGGUGGGAUACCAAAGGUACAGGAUACAGUUCAGCCACUUAGUCGUGAGGAUCUAAAGGGAUUGCCCUUCAAGUUUCCGGAAACCAUAAUUAGGUUUGCUGCUGUUUUUUUCUUUCACUAAUUAUAUCAGUUGCACACGUGCAGGGUGUAGCAACCACACAGUUUCUUUUUUCCUUUUCCUGAAAUUAUCCUGCCAAACACUAGUAAUCUUACCCUGAUCCGGAUACGGUGGCAAGUAGACCUGAAGGAUUGGAGUAUCACCAAAGAACUAGCUAUGGACAGGGGUGCGUGGAAGCUUGCUAUCCAUGUGCCAGAGCCAUGAGUUGGUUGCGAGAUCUUAUGGGUUUCACCUCUAGCCUACCCCAACUUGUUUGGGACUAAAGGCUUUGUUGUUGUUGUUGUGUUGUUGCAGAGAAGUUGUCCGCAGCCCUAUGGUUGAAGCUCAGUGCUUCGUCCAACUAGGGUUUCCAGUGGUUCUAAAGAGCACAAUGAUGACGGAGGAUAUUCACUAUGUCGGAUUUUUAAGUAAACUUCUCGAAACAAAAAUCAUGCAAGUACUCCGCUUCAAAUAUGGACAGGUCUACUCAGUUAAUGUAGGUGUCUUCUUAGGUGGCAACAAACCUUCUAGAAGUGGAGAUGUUCGUGGAGACAUAAGUGUGAAUUUCUCAUGCGAUCCAGACAUGUCAUCUAGGCUUGUUGAUUUUGUUCUGGAAGAGAUAUCAUAUCUACAGACAGAAGGCCCUUCUGAAGAAGAUGUAUGGACCAUCCUAGAAAUUGAACAAAGAGCACAUGAAAACGGAUUGCAGGAAAAUUAUUACUGGUUGGAUCGAAUUCUGCGGAGCUAUCAAUCAAGGAUUUAUUCGGGAGAUGUUGGAUCCACCUUCAUGGUUCAAGAUGAGGGACGUGUAAAAGUUAGAGAAGCUUUAACACCACAGGCCAUGCAAAUGGCCUUGCGAAGGGUGAUAUCUUUCCCAUGUAAAAAACAGUACACGGUAGUAAUUCUUAUGCCUAAGUCAUCUUGUUGGAAUUCGUUGAUAUCGGUGGUUUGUUGGAGUUCUGGUGGAUUUAGCAGAGAUGCAAAGAUUUUGGCUGGCAUGGCUGGUGCACUGGUCGUAGCAGCCAGUUUGUGGAGAUACUCACGGGGUGCAUUGAGAUCGUAGUGCACAGCACAUUUAAGUUAAGAGCCAAAUUGGUAGAUGUUUGUUACCAUCUCACCAUCAGCCAACAAAUCUGGUUGUUGGUGCGGUGAUUCUUCAUCACGGAAGAAGGUAUACAGAAAUCGGUAGCUAACUGAUUCGUUGCUGCGUGUGUGUAAGAUUGUAACAACAUUGGUUUACUGCCACAUGCGUGCGUGUAACAGCCGCUGAUUACUACUGGCACCUCCCAGUUGAUUCAAAUGGUAGAAUGCUUAUACCAGAUUCAGUUUUGUCGAGAUCGAUUGCAUGUGCUUUGUGUACCCAGGAUGACAAAUAAUAGAUGUACCGUUUCAUAUGUGCUUUGCCAUUUUAUAUAUUUUUUUACAUCAACACCAUUUGCAUCCUUUUCUUCUUCUCAUGGUCAUGGUUUUUCCUAUUAACAAGACUAAAAUCGUGCUUGCAAACUUCUGGGCAAAAGCCUCAUAACGCAUUGCUGCAUUGUCCCUUAGGCCUUUGCCUCAUGCACACGAUUUGCAUCAGGAGUCGGCAGAAGAGAAUCAAGAGAUGAAUCGGCACAUAGGUGGCCGUCCGGCUGACACCACUAGCUGCACCGACCAAAGCGGUGAUUUGGAAUUUUGUAAAGUAAAAGAAAAAGUGGUAAUAGCAUCUGGAAAGAGCAAGUACAGCAAUCUACAACCAUGCUCUCUCAAUGGCAAGAACAAGUACAGCAAGGCUCCACCCUCAAAUCUGACUUGGCUAUUUCAGGUACCAAAAUAUAUUCAGAUGCUUCUUGGUAUAAGAAGAAUGUGCCUGGGUAUGGUGGCAAUCCGGCUACUGGUACUAGUGUUCACAUCCUCUUCCCCAAAGACGAUUCUGAUUCAAGAAUAAUGAUUCAAACCUCUACUCAUGAUGUUUCUUCACCUCUUAUUGCUGAAGUUUAUGCACUUCUAUUUGCUGCUAAAAUCUCUUGCUGGCUUCAGCUUCAACAAGGUUCUUUUCUCACUGACAAUCUUUCAUUACCAAAGAUGGCUGCUUCAAGAGAUAUCAAUAACACCAACAUCAACUGGAGAUGCAGACAGCCAAUUAGCGAGUUCUUUCAAGUCUCUCAUUCUCUUAAUGAUGUUUAUCACAUAUCCAGGAAUUGCUCACAAUUGUGCUCAUCAAGUUCUCAACUCGGGAGUAGAACCCGUCUUUAG